GGGACGCGCAGAGGAGCCCCGCCGCCCCCGGGGCUGGUGAGUGACGGCGCCGGUGCCCCGGCCCAGCGCCCUCUCCGCUUCCCCGGGGCCCCGCUCUGGGGGGGCGAAGCUCGGCCGGCAGCUCCGCUGCGCUUGUGCGCAGUCUCUGCUUUUACUGAGCCAUUCCUUCCUGAAGUUCCUUGGGAAAUGUGGUAAAGCGAUUUUCAAACUGUCACUGCAUCUGGACCGAUAGCACAGCUGGGCAGAGCGCCGCCCCGGUGUGUCCUGGCUGUGCGGACACCCCGCCCACUCCCCCCCCCCCCCCGUCAGGGCGCGUCAGGAAUGACCCAAUGGCCUGGGCGCGGUGGCUCGGCCGGUUGGAGUGUCUCGGCGCACGCGACGACGAUUGCAGGUUCCCUCGGCUCAAGGCGCUUACCUAGGUUUUGGGUUUGAUCCCCUCCCCCCGCUCCCUGUGGGGCGCGUACAGGAGGCAAAUGAAGUUUAGCGCUGAGCCCUGUGACUCCGUUGGGUGGCGACCUCCUGAAAUGCCACGGGGUCGCUCACUGGGCUCCUGGUCACGGCAGAUGCCUCGCUGGCUCGCGGUUCAGUCCCAGGUCCCGGCUGCACAAGAGGCAACCGACCGAAGUUUCUCUCGCAUGUCGAUGUUCCUCUCCCUCUCUUUCUCCCUCCCUUCCCCUCUCUCUAAAGAUAAAUUAAGAAAAUUUUUUCUAAAAACAAAAAUACAAGUUGAACA